AAUAACAAAACUUUUGAAAUAUGGAAUUCCUAUUAAUAUUCCUUAAGCAAUGCAAUGCAUUUUCAUUAUCAUCUUGCCUUGUGUCAGCAAAAAUUCUAUGAACUAGUAAAAUGCAACAGAUAUAGACAUAGAGAAUAAUUGUAUUAAUUCAAGGAUGAUGCAUAUGGAUAUCAGGUCAUGAGAUUUGAAGUAUUUAACCUUGGGAAGAAAGGAUGUGAAGAUUAUGAGAGCUCCAAUUGGGAGAGUGUUCAAGCGCGAGGGGGAAGAUUUCCAGCAGGGCAGCCGCAUACGGAAGAUUGGGCAGAGUCCUCGCAGAUGGCGGUGUCAGAGCAGGGGAGCCUGAAGAAGAGUAUAGAAGAAAAGCGACUAAGCAUUGCAGAUUUCCAGCAAUCAUGGGAAUGAACCAAUUUUUCUAUUGUGUGUAAGAGACAUUUUUAAUCACCUUUAUGUGUUCAAAGAAUAGAUUGAAUCAGUUAUUUUGGAAAAAUAUGACACAGCCUCUAAUCAUGCUAUUUAUUUAAUAACAAUUUAUUUAUAAAUACUGCUAUUAAAGAGUUCAUUAAAAAUGGCUC
rnacentral:lncRNA from 1 species